UUCCAGACUCCUACGGGAGGCAGCAGUGAGGAAUAUUGGUCAAUGGGCUUACGCCUGAACCAGCCAAGUCGCGUGAGGGAAGACUGCCCUAUGGGUUGUAAACCUCUUUUGUCAGGGAGCAACGCCGGCUACGUGUAGCCGGACUGAGAGUACCUGAAGAAAAAGCAUCGGCUAACUCCGUGCCAGCAGCCGCGGUAAUACGGAGGAUGCGAGCGUUAUCCGGAUUUAUUGGGUUUAAAGGGUGCGUAGGCGGAAUGCCAAGUCAGCGGUAAAAUCGCGGGGCUCAACCUCGCUCCGCCGUUGAAACUGGCGAACUCGAGAGGGAGAGAAGUAGGCGGAAUGCGCAGUGUAGCGGUGAAAUGCAUAGAUAUUGCGCAGAACUCCGAUUGCGAAGGCAGCCUACCGGCUCCUAUCUGACGCUGAGGCACGAAAGCGUGGGUAUCGAACAGGAUUAGAUACCCGAGUAAA
rnacentral:rRNA from 1 species